GACGAACGCUGGCGGCGUGCCUAACACAUGCAAGUCGAGCGGAGUCAGUAAGAGGAAGUUUUCGGGUGGAAUCUUAUUGAUUUAGCGGCGGACGGGUGAGUAACGCGUGAGCGACCAACCUUGCACAGGGGGAUAACGGACCGAAAGGUUCACUAAUACCGCAUGAGACCACGGUGUUGCAUGACACAGGGGUCAAAGGAGCAAUCCGGUGCAAGACGGGCUCGCGUCCGAUUAGGUAGUUGGAGGGGUAACGGCCCACCUAGCCUAUGAUCGGUAGCCGACCUGAGAGGGUGAUCGGCCACAUUGAAACUGAGAUACGGUCCAAACUCCUACGGGAGGCAGCAGUGGGGAAUAUUGGGCAAUGGGGGAAACCCUGACCCAGCAACGCCGCGUGAAGGAAGAAGGUUUUCGGAUUGUAAACUUCUGUCCUUGGUGAAGAGAAGAAGACGGUAGCCAAGGAGGAAGCCCCGGCUAACUACGUGCCAGCAGCCGCCGUAA
rnacentral:rRNA from 1 species